AAAGAAGAAGAAGCAGUAGCGACAACCACUCUUCCAUCUCCGGAGAAUCGCCAUCUCCGACGAAUCGAGGCCUCUCUGCGUCGCCGGAGCGUCGCCGGCUCCGCCUCUUCUCCCAAUUUUGCACAUUUACCCCAAAAUCAUUUACCUCUCAAACUGAAAUCCCUAAUCGAAUUCAGAGGCGACGCCUUUCCUCUCCGGCAAAACCGCGCCCCACCCCAACGGAAUUCCGGAGUCCCGUCGGCGCGUACUCCUUCCUCCAUCGAGUUCUCCCUCUUCGCUGCCCUUUCUGUCGAGCUCUCCCCGUCGCCUCUUCGCGCCAGUGGUGGCAGCGCCGCCGCCGAGCACUCGUCGGGCUCCUAGUGCUGCACGCACUCUUUCUCCGGCUCACGUGGGGAAGCUCCGAAGUUCGCCGUCGCACUCACGCCUCCAGCUGCGAGCAGGGCCGCUGCCUUGUCGCCUUCUCGUCGAAUCCAGCGGCGGAGAGGAGAGCCUCGUCUCCUCUUUCCUCUCUCUCAGCCUGGUGCUCCGCGGAAAUUUUCGGACUCCGUCGACGCUCGCUCGUCGCCCGGCAGCCCCUCCGCCUAAGCUAAGUCACCUCCCAUUUUCUCCUUUACUCAAUUUCCUUAAAUUCUAGUAGAUUGGAGAUUGAUGGUAUUUCUAUGUUCUUGUUGGUGUAUUUAAAUUCCAUGAUCCAUCCUUUUUGAGUGCUCACUGGAAUUGGUCUUUGGCUAUGGUAUUAAAGUUCUGAUUUUUUUUCAAUUGGGGCACUUAGCUUACUGUAUUGAGUCUCUAUUCUUACACAUGCUUACUGUGGGAGAUCUUGAGGUUUCUGCUAUUGUUCCAUACUUGGUUGUGAGAAUCUUAUGGAAAUUCUAAGUUCUUGAGCUAUCUACUUGUUGUUCUACAUGAUGCGGAGAGUGUUGGUGUUGAGGUUGUUUACCUCACUUGCUGAACUUGUAUCGGUGGUGGCGGUUUUCGCCCUCGCCGCUCACCACUCCUUCCUCUCCUCUUCGCCGCCCCGCGCUUGGUGUCGUGAGUGGGUGGUGGUGUCGAGAGUGGGGUGGCGGAGGUGAAGGGGAAGGUGGCUCUUAUAUGGUGCUAAUCUAUUGGAAGCUAGGUUUGAGACUUGGAGCCAAAGGAUCCUAUUUUGGGCUUGCUAGCACUCUCACUUUCGAGCUUGAUGAUUGUGAGAUUCUUGCCGUUUUGGUGAUGGUGGCUGAUCUUCUUGGCUGAUUUCUCGGCCUUGAUCGACGGGGAGAUGAGAGUUUGUCUCAUCUUCUACUUUUGGGCUUGUGUACAUGGAGGCAUUCUUGGAGCUUGUGGAGGGAAGCAAAAUCGAGAUUAAGAAAAAGAGGGAAAGAAAGGAGAUGCUCCUCUUGAGCUCAUUUGGUUCUAUUCUCAAUUUAGUUUGCUUCCAAACUUGAGAAUUAAAGAAGUAGGAUAGAUAGCGUAGAAUAGGUGCAUGUUGAUUUUUAUCAAACUUGCAGGCAUGUACUAUUUCCAUCAUCCAUGUAUUUCUAUUUCUUCACAGUGUAUCCACAUUUCUCUAAUAAAAGUAUUUUCUCCA